rnacentral:rRNA from 1 species
GUGGCGAGCAUAAGCCGUGUGGCGUAUGCGUAGCGAAAGCGAGUCUUAAAAGGCGUUUUUAGUCGCUUGUCCUGGACCCGAAGCGGGAUGAUCUAGCCCUGGGCAGGUUGAAGCGCGGGUAAGACCGCGUGGAGGACCGAACCCACCUGGGUUGAAAACCGGGGGGAUGACCUGGGGCUAGGGGUGAAAGGCCAAUCAAAUUCCGUGAUAGCUGGUUCUCUCCGAAAUGCAUUUAGGUGCAGCGUCGGUCGAUUGCGUCGCGGGGGUAGAGCUACCGGAUGCUUGCGGGCCCUUGUUGGGUACCAACAGCAGCCGAACUCCGAAUACCGUUGACGUGUAUUCCGGCAGUGAGUCGGCGGGGGAUAAGCUCCGUCGUCGAGAGGGAGACAGCCCAGACCGUCGUCUAAGGUCCCGAAGCGUGUGCUAAGUGGGAAAGGAUGUGGAGUCGCAUAGACAGCCAGGAGGUUGGCUCAGAAGCAGCCAUCCUUGAAAGAGUGCGUAACAGCUCACUGGUCUAGUGGUUCCGCGCCGACAAUGUAGCGGGGCUCAAGCACACCACCGAAGACGCGGCAGCAAUCUUCAUGGUUGCUGGGUAGGAGAGCGUCCUGCGAGGGGCGAAGCGGCCGGGUAACCGUGCCGUGGACUUCGUGGGAGUGAGAAUGCAGACAUGAGUAGCGAGAGACGGGUGAGGAUCCCGUCCGCUGGAUGACCAAGGGUUCCGGGGCCACGUUCGUCGUCCCCGGGUGAGUCGGGUCCUAAGGCGAGGCCGACAGGCGUAGUCGAAUGGAUGAACGGGUGGAUAUUCCCGUACCGACCAUGGACCGGCAAAACCGAGACGGUGAGUACUAACCUCCGCCUCGUGGUGGUUCCUUCCUUCGGGUUGGUCCCGCCGCGUGGUGUUGGGAGCGUAGCCGCAGUAGGUCAGCGCAGGGGUGACACGGAAUGGGAGCCGGCCGCGGAGGUGGUUUUCCGUGGUCAAGCACGCAGCCAGUCAUGUAGGCAAAUCCGCAUGGCGCGCAUGGCGAGGUGUGAUGAUGGGAGCCUUUUGGCUCGAUAUCCGGUUGUCCAGGCCGUCGAGAAAAGCCUCGGCGUGAGGGCCAUGGCCGCCCGUACCCCAAACCGACACUGGUGGUCAGGUAGAGAAUACCAAGGCGAUCGAGCGAAUCCUGGUCAAGGAACUCGGCAAAUCACUCCCGUGCCUUCGGUAUAAGGGAGACCCGCUGGGGUGAACCGGCUAGCCCGGGGAGCUUUGGUGGGUGGCACAGACCAGGGGGUAGCGACUGUUUACCAAAAACACAGGUGCAUGCGAAGGCGAAAGCCGCUGUAUAUGCACUGACGCCUGCCCGGUGCCGGAAGGUUAAGAGGAUCCGUCAACUCUUCGGAGCGAAGCGGUGAAUUCAAGCCCCGGUAAACGGCGGUGGUAACUAUAACCAUCCUAAGGUAGCGAAAUUCCUUGUCGGGUAAGUUCCGACCUGCACGAAUGGCGUAACGACUUCCCCACUGUCUCGACCAGGAGCUCGGCGAAAUUGCAGUACGAGUAAAGAUGCUCGUUAAGCGCAGAAGGACGAAAAGACCCCGGGACCUUUACUAUACCUUGGUAUUGGCGUUAGGCGCGGAUUGUGUAGCAUAGGCGGGAGGCUUCGAAGCGGGUGCGCCAGCAUUCGUGGAGCCGCAAGGUGAAAUACCGCUCUGUUCUCGUUUGACGUCUAACCUCGACAAGUCAUCCUUGUCAGGGACAGUGCCUGGCGGGUAGUUCAACUGGGGCGGUUGCCUCCCAAAGAGUAACGGAGGCGCUCAAAGGUCCGCUCAGCCCGGUUGGCAAUCGGGUGUCGAGUGUAAUCGCACAAGCGGGCUUGACUGCGAGGACGACGGUCCGAGCAGGGACGAAAGUCGGAGAUAGUGAUCCGGUGCCGGCGCACGGGCGCGGCAUCGCUCAACGGAUAAAAGGUACCCCGGGGAUAACAGGCUGAUCAUUCCCAAGAGUCCAUAUCGACGGGAUGGUUUGGCACCUCGAUGUCGGCUCGUCGCAUCCUGGGGCUGGAGCAGGUCCCAAGGGUUCGGCUGUUCGCCGAUUAAAGCGGCACGCGAGCUGGGUUCAGAACGUCGUGAGACAGUUUGGUCUCUAUCCUCUGCGCUCGUUGGAAUCCUGAGGAGGCCUGCCCAUAGUACGAGAGGACCUGGGUGGACGAACCUCUGGUAUGCCGGUUGUC